GGCACUUAGUACCGGAAUCCCGAUCCCGUAUCGGUCCCGUCCCGAAAGUUAGCGGGACGGGACGAGAUAGGUUUUGAAAAUAACAAUCCCGUCCCGUCCCGUCCCGUUCAACAUUACCCUAACGGGACGGGACGGGAUGGGACUAUCCCGAAAAAUCCCGUCUCGUCCCGUAAUAUUAUAAUACUUGAUUUUUUAGGUUGCAUGGUGUUACAAUGCACUCAACCACACUCAAUUUGGUCUAAAAUAAUACUUUUAAUUGCAUUCAUGUUCUUUUUUUUUUGCUUGUGUGAUUUUGGAUAUUUUUAGUUGUUGUUUGAGGGUUAAUUUUUAAUGUGGGAUGUUUAGUACUUUUUAAAUGGGAUGUAAUUUAGCACCUAUGCACUUAUGUUCUUGUUGAUUUUAGUACUUUUAAUUUCAUCAAUGUUCUUUUUUUUUGCUUGUGUGUUUUUGGAUUAUUUUUUUUUCCAUUAAUUUCAUUAAUGUUGUUUUAGGGUUAAUUUGUCGGGAUUCCGAUCCCGUCCCAGUCCCGAUCGGGAUCGGGAAGUACGGGACAGAUUUUUAAAAACGUCUUCCCGUCCCGUCCCGUGCCGUGCCCAGCCCUACUUUUUAGUCAUAUUUCCACAUCUCUCUGUUCAGUUUAUUGAUACUAAUGUAUAGAUCAUUCCUGCAAAAUUUCAUCAGAAUUCAUUAUCGUUAAGGUACUGAAUUAGAUUAAAUCAAUGAACGGACCAUAAAUCUGUCUAACCAGAACUGUCUAUGUAAAUAACGAUUACGAAAACGCAAACGAUCUUCAAAUUUGAUGAAACUUUGCAGAAGUAAUCUAUGCAUUAGGUUCUACAAAUUGAACGGAGGAGAUGUGGAAAUAUGAAUGAAAAGUGAGUCAAAUAAGAAAAUUCACACUUUAAUUUCAAAGCGAAGCUUCGCUCUGGAUAGGAACUACAGUCUUUCUCAGUAAGGAUGUCCUUAUUUAUUCUUACGGUGCGGAUUUCCACUUUAGACUAACUUUUCGAUCGAAUUUUCACAUCUCCACCGUCUAGUCUUUAGAUACUAAUGUAUAAAUCAUCUCUACGAAAUUUUAGCCAAUUUGGUCAUCAUUAAGGCACUCAAAAUUACAUUUUUCUGUUAUAAACAUGAACGGUUCAAGUUCAACAGAAUUAUGUUCAUCCAUUGGUUUAAUCGAAUUUCAGUGCCUUAAUGAUAACCAAAUUGGUUGAAAUUUUGUAGAGAUGAUCUAUAUAUUAGUAUCUAAAAACUAGACGGUGGAGAUAUGAAAAUUCGAUUAAAAAGCAAGUCUAAAGUGAAAAUCCGUACCGUAAGAAUAAAUAAGGACCUCUUUAGCCAAGAAAGCCUGUAUAUAUACAUAUAUAUAUAUAUAUAUUUUUUUUUUUUCUUCAGGUAAGGAAAUCCGCAUGAUAAGAAUAAAUAAGGUCCUUAGCCAAGAAGGCCUGAUAUAUAUAUAUAUAUAUUUGACAGUAUAUAGUUUUUACAUACAUAAUUUCUUUACUGUAAUAUAUAGUUUAGCAUUGUGGUGCAAAAAAUUAUUUGUAAAUAGAUUUGAUACUAUAUAUAGUUUUUAUAUACAUAUUUGUUUUAUCAUAACAUAUAAGGUGUUGCUAUUAGCCUAUAACACACCUAAAAUCUCUAUCCACAUAUCCCUUCUCAUUUUUAUUUUUUAAGUUUAAAAAUUUAUUUUAAUGACUAUACAUACGUAGCAUGUAAGUUUUAUGAUUUGAAGACGAAAAAAUGAGAAAUGGUAUGUAGAUAGAGAUUGUUGGUGUGUUAAUAGUAACAUGUUGGAUUAGUGAUUUUCUUUAAAACACUCACGUGUGAUACAUUUUGACAUGAUGAAAUCACGAUGAUGAGUGAUGAAAAAUUUAACCGAAAAUUAUUUUGGUUAUAUAUGUGUGAAACAGUUUUCAAGGUUAUACAUGUGUGAUACUAGAGAAAAUCUUACGUGCGACGGUCGUGCCACGUGUCCUGUGCGACCAACCAGUCACACAGCGAUACGUAUUUUUUUUUCCACACCUCUUCUUUUUCCUUCCUCUCUCGUCUCCGGCAAAACCAAUCCCCUCCGAUCAAAACAUAGCAGGUCCCUCUGCCCAGCCGCCGCCUCAAACCUAGAACCCCCACCAUAAGCCUCACAACCUGCCGUCGUUGAGCCGCGCCUCCACCAACCUGUGCAAAUCACGCCUCCACCAAGAGAGAGGAAGGAAGAAGAAGAAGAGUUGUGAAAAAGCUUCGCCGGAGAAGAGAGAGGAAGGAAGAAGAAGAGGUGUAGGAAAAAAAAAAACACGUGUCGCUGUGUGACUGGUGGGUCGCACAUGACACGUGGCACGACCGUCGCACAUAAGAUUUUCUCGUGAUACUAACAUGUAGCAGGUUCGAACCUAAUAGUGAUUGAGAAAAGUUGUGUGAAAGAGUUCAAUGUUUUGAUAGUACACAUGUAAUAAAUUUAUGAUUUAUUUUUGACAAGUUGCAGUUCAACAUAGUAAAUUAACGGGAUCAACUAAAGCACAAUAGCUGCUAACAUUAUAAGGCUCUAUAUAUAGAGUUUCAAGUUUGGUGACAUGUGUUUCUACCUGUCCCGAGGUCACGGGACGGGAGGUCGAAUCCUUGGCUCCGGGUCCUGUAGCUGCACAACCAACAAUGCGUCAGGAGUCAGGACUGGGGUGGCCCAGUCUUCGACUCUUCGAUGCUUAAGUCAGCGUUUGGUUGUUACUUGUAUAGUACGGGAUUAUGGGAGGAAUAAUAAACGUACCUCUUUUGGGGAUCCGCGCCUGCUUUAUAGGCAUGUAUUGGAGGUUUUGUCCUUAGUUCCCAAUGUGGGACUGUUUCAUGGUGUUAUUCAGCCUCCCUUCUUUCGGGGGUGUUUAGCUGUUACAGAAUGGGUAUGGCAUGUGUAUUAUUGUUACGCCUCCACUCUUUGGGUGCCUACAAAGGUUUUGCUGGUGGAGGUUUGGCCGGAAUGACCUCCGGCGAGUGGGUAAUGGCGUUGCAUUCUCGGCAUGGCCAAAUGUUUUGGCUGUGUAUUAACAACAUGAACCAUGCGAGCUGUAAUAAUAUUUAAAAAAGUUGUCUCACAAGUAAACUCAUCAAGUCAUGUCAUAAAGUUCAAAUGUAUUUGUUCAAGAGAAUUAAGAUAAAAUCCGAUUCUGAAUCACUAAUACUUUUAAAGCAUGCACCUUCUCAUAGACAAAAACAGAAUGCAACCUGACCACUCUAGUGCUACAACCACGGAGUUGUGUCGAGGUUGAGAGCGAUUUCCAAAUAUCUAAUCCGAUGUAUAUCGCAUCGAAGAAACUGAGCGGUUCGAGUUUCGGAUUGAAGGCCUUUGUGGCAGUGAUGGUAGAACUUGCCGACUAGAGGAGGGCUUGGAGAUCUCUGAUCUUGGAAGCCAACAAGAUGAGCUCGCUGGUCGGGCUGGAUUUCGAUCGGGAUAACUCGACCCGAUCUCGAAUGGUUUUGCUCGCUUGGAUUCUAAGCGGCGUUACCACAGCUAGUGGAAGUUUGAUGGCCGGUGAGUGGCUGCUCAAGGUGCCAGUCAAGUUUUUCCAGUGGGCUUGGACUUGGAUCUGGACCCAAGUCUUUGGGCCGACUUCUAGGCUCAGGCCUGGGGAGAUGGCUUUUGACCUUCACUUGACCUCUUUUGGUCAUGGGUUGGGCCUACUCUCUCAUACUGGUAGCACCUACAAAGUCUAUGAGGAAGCAGAUAUCAGUGCAUUUGUUGGCGGCAUUCCUCCAAACCCGACCUCUAAGGUGCUAUGCCCUAACACUCCUCUACACCCUGAUCUUAAGAGCAAAACAAAAAUUCAAUAAGUGUUAGUGCAUUGAUAGCUUGGCAAACUGUGCGAGCUGGAUGCAACGAGAGGGAUUCAUAGGACUUAGAGUAUUGUAAUUGAGUGCCUUAGCUCUAGUUUUAUGUUUCUCUGGUAUCUUGUUUUGUUUCUAGUUUAAUCCUCUGCUAAGCUCAUUUGAAUAAGUGAGCUAAUUGUCUAAUGUAAUAGUGUUUGAUGUCAUUCUGGCCUGAGUUUAUUAAUAAAAUUUCUGGGGCUGCUACCCUUUUUCCCUUAAAAAAAAAGAGAACUAAGAUAAACAUAAUAGUCAAUCCUAAAGAUUUAGAUUAUUACAAACCUCUCCCAUAAGAAUCUAGCUAGAAGAAUCUCAGAUAAUAUUGAUGAUGCAGAAACGAGCUAGGUAGUAAUGGGGCAUCCUUCCUCCAACUCAACCUCAGCGACAUGCCUAAUUACUGUCACUAGGAGCUUAUCCUGAGCUCUGUUGUCACACUCCGGUUCUUAAGUUAUUUUACAGUUAUUUACUUUGGUAUUAUUUUGGUCUUUUACCGUGUUAAGUAACCGUUUAUCAUUUAAGGACCCUAGAGUUGACUUUUUCUUGCGUUUGGAAUUUGGGAAAACUUUCUUCAUGAAAGUCGUAGAGGACGUUUUUACGAGUUUGUAGACAUGCUAUGUGUUAAAAUCGGAGUUAGCAUGAAAAAGUUAUGAAUUAAGAGAGUAAUUUUAUGAGAUGGUAAAAGGGGGUAAAUAUUAAGUGGGUAUAAUUUUUGGGUUUAAGUUUUAUGGACCGGGUGUGGGCAGCCCAACACCCCCCACUCACCCCCUCACUCCCUCACUCACUCUCUCUUUUCCUCCCUUCCCUCCUGAGCCCCUAUCCCACCGGAAGUCUCCAACGCCAGCUGCUGCCGUCCGGCCAGCCACCAACUGCCAGCCCACCUCAGUUCUGACCCCCAUCACCUCCUCUCCCUCCCCGGCCUAGCCCCCGAGCCGUUAGCCCGCCGGAAGAGGAGAAAACUUGCCGGAGACGCCAGGAAGCUUUUUGCCGGAAAUCCCACCUCCGGCCACCAUAGGUCGGGAUUUUUGGCUCAUCUUGUAGCCCUCAUCAAGGUGAGUAAUCCCUCAAAAGGAAUUAGUCUAUUUCAUUGUUGUUAUGGAGAAAUGUAUAAUUGAAGUUUUUAAGGAUUUAUGGAAAUUUUGAUUCGUUUGCCCUAGUUAGCUUUAGAAAUGGACUAAGUGCUAGUUAUGAAUGUUGUUGAGCAUGAUAAGAGGAAUUUUCUGUGAAAAUUUGAGAAGCAUCGGAGGUCGCCGGAAAACGGCUGCCGGCCGCCGCCACCCCUUAGGGGCAGUUUUUCAUGAUUUUGGGUUUGUUUUAAUGAGAGGAGUUUAAUGAAGUAUGGUUGGGAAUUUUUGGAGGAGAUUUGUUAAGGUUUAGGAUUUAUUAAUGGUUAAGGUUUUAGACGGUUAUUCGAAUGAAAAUCCGGCAGUUAGUUUAGCAGGUUUUAAAGUCUAAAAAGGUUAAAUUAUGGCUUUCGGUAAGUGCGGAGUAAUGUGAGCCUUAUUAGGUAAUAAGUGGAGAAGUUGGACAAGAAAAAUGAAAAUUAUAGGCUUCCUUUUAAUUUCGGAAAUGUUAUUAAAGUUUUGUCCUGGUUUGGAGGCUUAAUGAUUAUUUAUUGUUCAGGACGUGAGGAGGAUCAUUUGGAGGAAGCCUCGGGCCGUCGGCAAGCAUAGCCGAGCACUGUGAGUGGACCUUUGAUUUUAAUAUCAUGCAUGCGCUAAAGUUAUUUAAUUUCAAAGGCAUUUGGAGAUAUAAUAUUUUGUUGGAUUAUCGAGUUCCACUUAUUUUUCCGGAACUCUCUUGCAAUUUUAGUUGACACGUGGGACGUGUCAAGUGAUUUAUAUUCUUUCCAUGUACAGUUGGGAACUGUACUAUGCGCUAUGAGUUUAUUAUAAUUUAUUUGGGGAAGUGUGGAUCUUUUUGUUUUAAUAUUGUAUUUCACCAUAAAAAGGGUUGAUAUAUAGAUUAUUGCUAGCUAACCUUAUUAGCGGUCCUCAUCAUAUGUGAGUCGUUAUUAUAGUCUUAUUAGCGGUUCUCAUUAUAUGUGAGUAGAGCGCUUAGCGUGUGACGCUAUUAUAGCCUGGGAGGCAACCGAUCGGUAUAUAUAUAUUUAUUGUUAGCUAACCAUUAUUUAGCGGUCCUCAUCAUAUGAGAGUUGAGCGCUUAGCGUGGGACGCUAUUAUAACCUUAUUAGCGGUCCUCAUCAUAUGUGAGUAGAGCGCUUAGCGUGGGACGCUAUUAUAGCCUGGGAGGCUCAUUGUUAUGGUGAAACCUCUUCCCUAUUUUUAUUGAUUUAUUGGGAACCAAUGGGAUUGGUUCAAUAGUUUUUUCUAUAAUUAUUUUCGGAAAAAUUUCCAAGAAUGGCAUGCAUAAAUAUUUUCUCAAUAGAAAAUAUGGGGAAAAACAUUAAUUUGAUUUAAAUACUCUAUCAUUGAGUUCGUUCAUUAUUAUUUAUUUUUAUCCACUCACUCUAACGUUUUAAAUACUUUCCCCUGAGCCUUUCGUUUUAAAUGCCCAGUCUGCAGAGCUCUGUUCGGCGAGAGUAGGAGGCGUGUCAUAUUUCCCACCUCAUCCAGUUUUCUCUCAUAGGUUACUAGUUAACCUACCUGUGUAUUUUCUUCUUUCCUAGUAGUUGCUCUGAUAACCUUGGGAUGUUUUAAGUGUGGUUGUUGUUGUUAUUGUGGUGUGUUAAGAGCUUGUGACUCCACCUAGAAGUGUUGAAAAAGAUUUAUUUGGCAUGUUGUAUGAGAUAUUAAAUUCAUGAAAUUAUUUCGAUUUAUUAUGUUGGUUGAGGUGGUGGAUGUUUUAUUUGGGGGAGCGGAUGGCUCCAGAAGAUGUGGAUUAAAUUGUUUUAGAAGUGUUUGGGCUUUGGUGAUUUUUCUUCCAGGUAAGGUUACUCAUUUUCAAGGGAGGUUAUGCCAAAAUUUUGGUAGAAUUUCUCUUGAGGUGGGUCCCGCAUGGUUUAUUCCGGAUUUCAAGGGGAAAUCCGGGGUAGGUCCUGACAUCUGUCUUGAACGACUCCCCACAAAAUGAAAUAGAGACCUCCUAAGAUGACACAACUCCCUAGCACACUCCCCAGGUGAAUCUCCUCGCAUAGUAUGUAUGCCCCUAGUAUGGACACCAUAACAGGGCAUAGAGGAUUAAAAGCUUUGAGGUAGACCAGACCUUUAGCCUCCAUGAUAAUCCCUACAGAUAAUAGGUGAGCGCUGAGGGGACUAUACCUUUGUAUAGUACAACUAUGAGUAUGUUAUCCAGUCCCAAUUCCCAGGAUAAACGCGUUAUGUAACGCAUGCACCCACCAAUAACGCAUGCACCCACCAAUGCACUAUGGAUGGCUCUUAAUAGACAAACUAUGUCUGCCAAUGACAACGGCGGGUAGUGUUUCAGGGCCUUCAACUGCACUACAUAAAAUCUUGUUGCCGUAACAACUCCAAGCAAUAAGACGGCUAUGCCCGUUUUCGCUGGAGCUACUCUGGUGCCUCUCAUGGGAGGUGCCUAGGAUGACUAGCCUUGAGUAGGCAGUCAUGACACACGUCCCCAUGAUUUUGAGAAUGGUGUUCAAAUAUUUCUACGGGGAUAGUCAAUCCUAAAGAUUUAAAGUAUUACAAACCUUUCCCACAUGAAUCUAGCUAGAAGAAUCUCAGAUAAUAUUAGUGGUGCCGAAACGAGCUAGGCAGUAAUGAGGCAUCCAUCCUCCCCUCCUCCAACUCAAUCUCGGCGACAUGCCUAAUUACUGUCACUAGGGGCUUCUCCUGAGCUCUGUCUUGAAUGACUCCCUACAAAAUGAAAUAGAGGCCUCCUAGGAUGAAACAACUCCCCAGCACACUCCCGAGAUGAAUCUCCUCGCAAAGGAUAUAUGCCCCUAGAAUGGACACCAUAACAUGGCAUAGAGGAUUAAAACCUAGCUUUGAGGUAGACCAGACCUGCAGAUAAUAGGUGAGCGUCGUUUAGGGUUUAGAGUUUAGGCAAAUAAAGAUAAAAAAUAUAUAGUUUCGGUAUACAUAGAUUUUUUUACUUAUAGCAAUAUAUAUAUAUAUAUAUAUAUAUGUGUGUGUGUGUGCAGGNNNNNNNNNNNNNNNNNNNNGGGCGGGCGGGAAAGUUCAUUUUUGACUCAAUUUGGGUGCAAACUGUGUAAAAUGUCAUUUUUGCCCUUUCUUUGGUGGACCCGAUACUGGCCACGUCAGCGGACAAACGGUGCCGUGACAGAAAUUGGCCUCAGAUCUUUCCUUGGUAGCAAAAACAAAGUUUGGGUACCACAUUAAUAGUUUUUAAAGUCUGGGUACCACUUUGACCGUGCCAUAAAAGUUGGGGUACCGGUGCUGUCAAAACUUCUUGAAAAUAUGAUAAGAAAGAAAAUAUAACACAAUUGUGGGAUAGAUAUAUAAAGAUGUGAAAACAAGAGACGGGGUAGAUGUGAGUGUGACUCAUUCGAUAGUCACACCACAAAAAUUAAAGGAGAUUGUACUAAAUAAAGAUGUGAAAACGGGUAGGUGUGGGCAUGACUCACUCCGUAGUACCAUAACCUAGUGACUCAUACCGCAAGAAUGGGGAUUGUAUUCCCCCGGAUGACUAAACCGUAACCUUUUGAAAGGCUUUACGAUUUGAUACGCAAACCUCAUACUUAUUGGCACCUACUAUUUCGUUUUUAGAUAUAUAUGAGUAGAGCUGCUCUGCAAAUUUUCAUCAAAAUUGAUAAUUGUUAAGACAUUGAUAAAUGUGUUUUACCAAUUAUAAACUUGAACAGUUUCUGUUGGAUAGAUUUGGCUAGAUGGUUGAUUUAACUCGACUUGAAUUUGACAUUCUGGACCCAGAAGGAAUUGUGUACCAUUGUUGGGUUUCUGAUGUGGAAACCACUUUUGUGGGAAAGGACUACACUUCCACCAUCAAAUCCCUCACUGACCCCAAUGACAAAGGACCGUCUGACAAAGUGAAAGCCAAUGCCCUUAUGUUUCUAAGGCGGCAUAUUGACCCCAGCCUAUGUUGGGAGUACCUUCAGUUGAGACACCAUUGGAACUAUGGGAUGCUGUAAAGGGGCGUUUUGGGAACAUCCAUGAUACUCUACUCCUAGAAUUGACCGUUCAGUGGAAUGAAAUCUGCUUGAUGGAUUACAUAAGGGUCAAUGACUUCAACAAGGACAUGCUACGCUUAAAGGCACAUCUCAACUUCUGUGGAAAUUAACUCACAAAAGAUGAUAUGAUCCAAAAGACACUUUCCACCUUUCCUACUUCAUCACUUAUACUACCGAACCAAUAUAGGUUGGAGUAUGAUAACAAGAGAACCACAACCUUCAAUAAGCUUAUCAACCUACUGCAAGUGGCUGAAAGACAUAGUGAGGUCCUCUUGAACAACAACACCAGGCCUGUUAGGACAAAGAAAAUUCCUGAAGCUAAUUAUGGCAAGGUGAGAGGUGGAAAUAACCCCAAAGAAAAGGGGAUUGGAUGUGCUGAUCCCUACCCACGUGAGAACAAUGCACCACGUGGAAAGGGAUAUGAGGGUCGUGGUAUGGCGCAGAGAUGGUGGUGCUUGCCCUAGGGGUCAUGGUGGUACUGGCCCUCGUGGCCAUGGCUCCAAGGUGCAGAAAGCUCCUAGGAAUCCUCCAGUCCAAAAGGAAAGAGUUGGCACAAAACCUUGCUAUAGGUGUGGAACUACUGGGCAUUGGUACAAGAACUGCCAAGCAAGCAACAUAGCAACAGCCAAUUAUAGGAGGUAUAUGGAGUCUAUGGAGCAAGAGGCUCAGUAUAUGGAAGGAGGAGGCCCUGACCUAGAUGUCAACCUCAUAAUUGCAGACUUUACUGGCAACAAGGACCCUACUCAGUCAAAGGACGUUUCCGACUUUGAUUGAUAUGUUUUAUUCGUUUUUUCAAGACAUUUAUGAAGGCGUAAUGCCUCAAUAAUUAGACUAUUAUUUAGUCUUCAAGUUUAUUUUGAUAUUGGUUUGAUGAUUUGGAUUUCAUGGACGAAACCUUUAUUUGGUUAUUGUUGGUUUAUUAAUAAAUUUCGGAUUUUAUUCUGAAGCAUUGAAUUGUAUUCGAUAUUUAUUCCAUAUUGGUCACAUAUGAAAUUAUUGUUCACAAGUGUUGCUCUUACAACCCUUGGCAUAUAUUAUACGGGCUCACCACCCUAAAUCAUAAAGUUUAUAGUAUCUGACAAUGGUAAGUGUUAAGAUCAAGAGGACUUGAUGACUAUUGCAUGUCUAUAAGGAUCAAUGUACAACAUGCUAUACCCCAAAUGUAUACAUAAAAUGGCUUCGCAUAAGCCACCAUAUCUUGGUACUGGUUAUGGGCACCAACCUACAUAUACUUGCUUGGGGUUAUGCAAUAUCACACGCAGCCUUACUUAUUCGUUCUUAGACCCACCGCUAGCCAGCCAUUCCCUGCGUACUAAUUAGUAACUGGACAUGAGCUUGAGAUUUAUGCAUACUUGGUUGCGCAGUAUAUGUGCCAACUGCGCCCCCACAACGCUUCAAAAAUAGGGUCUCAGAAACGAAUAUGUAUUUAUGUUGGACACGCACCUCCAACAAUUAUCAGCUAUUCAGAACCCUUACAGGCGAUCUCACCGCUUAAUUUGCGGAUUGUCACUUAGAUGAGACAGUCUUCUCGUCGUUAAUUGUCACUUAGAUGAGACAAUCUUCUCGUCAUUACGGAGAGAUAAAAAAAAUGAUUUUCGAAAGGAAUGACAUGAAUUGUCGUGGUUGCCCACUCUGUCUCAUCAUGUGUUAGCCAAAAAGUCACCCUCAUGUAUAAGGGGUACAAAUGAUAGUAUAUGGAUUUAAGAAAGGUUGUCGAACCCACGAGGAUUGGAUUCAUUUCACUAGCUAGGGUGUUAAUCAAGAGAGUUAGAAUAUGCAAAUGUACAAUCAUAAACCUAAACACAUAAGGAAAUCUAGGCUCAUGGUGAGUUUGUGCAUUGUGGAAGUAGUGAUUUGAUUUUGAGUUUUUGAAGUUGUGAACUAAACUAAACUAAAUGCUCAAAUGUAAACUAAAUUACUCUAAACUAAACUAGUGAUCUAAUAGAUGGUGUAGGGUUUGGAUUGUCUACCAUUAACCUCUCUUGCAAGUAUUGAUGUAAAUCAACAUGAAUGAUGUUAAGUUAAUCAACCAAUUUCUCUCCUCGCAUCCCUCUCGGGUAUGACAAGGGAUAUGCUUUUUUUGUGGUAUCAAGCAGCCCCUCUUGGGUGUAAUACUUAACUACAUAAGUCAUGCAUUUCAAUCCGGUUAGACAUCUAGUGCAUUACCGUAAGUGCAUAAAGUUUAGAGUUGAAGAAACUAUGCAAACCAACCAAGCUUAUCUCUAAGUGAUUAUAAUUCACAACCCCUACAUGCACACCUAGUGUGCUUUCAUGUUUUAACAUUCAAAGGUUACCAAGCUCUAAACAUCAUAUCAUGUUAUGUCAAACACACAUACUCAAAGUGGUAAAUUCUAAGCAUAUGCAUUAAACUCUUAAACUAGUAUGUAGGAAUGUUAACUAAAAUUGCAUCAAAUCAUAAUAUAGCAUCAAUCUAGACCCGGACCUGAGGUGAGGCCGAAGAAGCGGCCGCCCCAUGCCCAGAAUACCUGGGGGCACCAAAUCUGGCAGCUGCCUUGAGCAGAGGGAGGACCCUCCAUGGAAGCUAGCUUAAAGCUAUGGUUGUUUGAGUUUUGAGUUUUUUGAAAUGAAAAACAGAGGAGAGAAAUGGUUGGGUUUAGAAGAGAAGAGAAUGGAGAGAGAGAAGUUUGAUGAUGGCGAUGAUGAUGAUUGAUGAACUCUUUUUUAUGGUUGUCUCUACCCUGUGGAUGUUUCUAUAAGAAUUUGGGUUUUUUGGUAGAACAUAAGAAUCUAGGUUUGUGGUUCUCUGACUUCUCUCUACCGCUGGUGUUUUUUUUCCUAAUCAUCCCACAUUGGUAAUUAAGUUGGUAGGCCCCCCGGGUGAAAUUAUUUGUGUAGUAAUAUAUACACCAUCUUUCUGGUAUGAGUAAACACCAUAGCAACAUCCUUAUGUCAGUGAUGCCCCAUCACAAAGGUGAAGCUUUCCGAUCUGAUGGUAUGAAGAACAUACUUUCUAGUACCAUAAAAAAUAGAAGUUUAUAUUGCUUUAGAACAUCUUUAGAUCUAGAGGCAAUUGACUUUUUUUUAAUGACCAUAAGAGGGCACCAUUUUCAGAACUCGCCUCAGGUCUUAAAAUCUCAGGUUCGCUCCUACAUCAAUCCAUACAAGAUUGGUUAAGGCGUUCAACCCUAACCCCAACAAAAUACUACUCACUCAUAAUUACAUAAACAAACUCCAUAAUCAAAUCAAACAUCAACAUAGAUCUAGAGUUUAAGGGAGAGAGUUGGCCUAGUGGUGUAUCGAUUGGUCCCCAAACUCACGUCUUGGUGGUGGUGGUGAUUCCCUCUCCUUCUUGCUCUUGAAGACUUGAUGAUGAAAGGUAGUAAAGCUAGAUCUAUAUAUGUUUUGUGUGAAUAGGUGGAGUGGAUGGAGAAAGUGAUAUAGGAAAGAGAGUGGAGAAAUGGUGCAGUAGUGGUGGUGUUAAUGGAGGUUUGGGAUUAGACAUGGUGGUGGUGAUGGAGGAGAUGGAGUUUGGAAGUGGAAGAGGAAGAUGAUGGGUUUGGAUGUUGGGAGAAGAAGAUGGAGGUUUUUGGUGGAGAGAAAGUAGAAAAAGGUGAAAUGGGUGAGUGGGUGGAUAACGGUGUUGUGACAUGAAGGGAUGCUUAAAUAGAUGGAGAAAGAAGAGUGAAAAGUGGGAGAGAGAGAGAAGCAAAAUCAGCUCUCCCCUUUGCUUCUCAUGUAUGGAGCAAUGUGGUGGAGUGAAAAUUUGGGUUUUGGUCAUUAAAAUAGAGGGGACAAACAUGUAAUAUAAGAGGUUGAGUGUGAUUGGAGUAGGGAAAUGAUGAAUGAACAUGGUGAUUCACCCCUACAAAUACAUAGCUUGUUCUUGAUGGAGAUUAUGAAUGACUAAUGGGCAAGAGAAUGAGUGAGCAUAGUGUGGGAAAAGAGAGAAAAGUAAUGGAGUUGGUUUUGAACAAAAAAGUUAGGUAUUUGGUUAUGAUGGAGUGAUUGUGAAUGAGUGUAAUAGAAAUAUAGAAUUUGUAUAAUGUCACUCCUCCUUCUUCUUUAUGAACAUGGCCGGAAAGUACAUGGCACCACCAAAAGUGGUGAUGAGCCGCCAAAAGUGGUGGUGAGCCGAAAUCCGGGAUUUUACAUUUUGCUCCACAUUGGACCGUCAUUCUUUUAUAGCUUCGAUUCUCCACUUCUAGGCCAAAACAUGAUGUUUCCUUUACUCUUGCAUUAUUCCUAGAUAAAACAAUAAAUAAUUUAAUGAAAGCUAAAUUGAACUCAAAAACAAGUUAAAAUCCAUAUUUAGGGGUAUACAUGUAUAUGGAAAUUAUGGUCUAACAUCCUAAUCCCCACAUAAUCGAAAUCUAGAACGUAACAGUUUUGAUGCCUGAUGUGUCUAAAUAUCACACAUACUAGCUGCAAACACCUGCAAGGUUAAAAGUCCUCAAUAUGGGGCACGUCGCCGCAGAUAGAGGCGACGCAACCAUACUUAGUGGAGGUGUGGUUGAGGUCGUGGCUCCCUAAGAAAAGAGGGGGAGGCCACUUGGUUCGAUCAAUAUUUGCCUAAAGGAAUUGGGUGAGUAAGGCACAACCUCAUCGGUGUAAAUCUCUCUCAUGAGAUUGUCUCUGAUUACAGUUAUGUCUAUGAAUCAAUACUGGAUGACGCUCCGAUGUUUAAAAUGAUUCUAGAGACAAAAUCUCAACGGGUUACGAGAGUACAUACACAUUGAUGAUUCGCAAUGUUGCUCAAAGAAUCAUAGAGCACGAAGGUAUCGAACCACACUUUGUUGAAGAAUGUCAACAAAGAGCUUAUUGGCCUACAUAAAAGUGCAAUCUAGAAAGAGCUAGAUUCUCUGACAAAGAGACAUGUAUUUGGUUUGGUAGUGCUAACCUUACUAAGUGUAAAGCUUUUAGGACAUAAAUAAGUCUUUGUCAAAAAACGUAAUGAGAAUAAUGAAACCCUAAAGGACAAGGCUCGCCUUCUGGCGCCAAGGUUUCUCGCAACGCUCUGGAUUGACUAUAAGGAGACAUAUUCUUCUAUAAUGAAAAUGCAGCUAAUAGAUGUAGUUACUACAUAUCUCCAUGGGGAUCUUGAUGGGGAGAUAUUUUAUGAAAGUGUCUGACGGCCUUACACUAUCCAACUCAAAUAACUCUAAAUCACUGAGUGCGUUUGCAAUUAAAAUUGAAACGCUCACUUUAUAAAAGUGACUACAUGGUUGGGUAGGGAUACAAAAUGAUGAACUAUGCCCCUACGUACUCAUAAAAGAAACAAGUUUCGGAUUUGCAAUUAUAGCUAUCUAUGUUGAUGAUCAUAGUAGGUAUUCUUGAUGAAAUAAGAGAAACCGCUAGUCACAUGAAAUCCGAAUUGAGAUGAAUAAUCUUGGGAAACUCGGUUAACAACGAGUUUGUGAAAUAUUAAUCCACCAAUCUGCAUGUGUCCAAAAGAUUCUCAAGCAAUUUAAAUGGACGAAUUGCAUAUUGUUAGCACUCCCAAUGAUCGCUCUAUAUUGGAAUGUAAAAGAAAAUCCAUUUUGUCCAAAGGAAGAUGACAAAGAAGGGUUGAGAAAUGAAAUUUCUUCUUUAAAGCACAAUAGGCGCAAUAUUGUACUUAACCCGAUAAACUUGACUGGAAAAUACAUUCUCACUGAACUUGUUAGCUAGAUUUAGCUUAACGUCAAUGCAGUGUCAUUUGUAUAGUAUAAAGAACGUAUACUGAUACAUAAAAGGAACCAUUGACUUGAGUUCAUUCUAUCCCUACAAUUAAAGCUCAACUGAUUGAUGUAAGAAUCAAGGGGAGAUGCAGAUAUGAGGGGGAGUCUAGACACCCACAUAUCAUCUUCAAAUGUAAUAGGUGUGUUGUGCUCUUUUUCCCUUCGACCAAGGUUUUAUUUUUCCCACAGGGUUUUGUUACUUGACAAAGUUUUUAACGAGGCAACAUCGCAUGCACCAUUUUGUCUUUGACUCGGCACAAGGGGCAGUGUUGAAGGAAAAAUGUUUGGAUGUGUCUUCGUCAAAGUAACUGACAAGAGGAAAUCAUGAGAUUAAAGUAUAUCAAAAUGUAACGGCUUAAUUAGGCUGUAAUACAUUAUAAUUACCUUUUGUAACCGUUGUAUUCGUCCCCUAUAUAAGGGAGAACUUUUAAUGAAACGAGUAAACCAUUUUCAACUGUCAUUUUACUUUUACAAUAUUCAAAAUAUUUUCUUGUUAUAUUUCAACAUUGUUUGUGUUUUGAUGUUAUUAUUUUCCUUUAAUUUUGUGCCCCAGUAAGCUUAAGUUUCUAGAUCCGCCACUGUAGGUACAAUAGAAAGGUCCAUAUGCCUUGAUCUCUUUUAUCACUGAAUUAUGUCUUUGUAGUACAAACUUAGUUUUUAAUUUAUGUUGAGUCGGCACCAUUUCAAUUCCUAGUUUAACGGUUUGUUUCGGUAUCAUUUUUUCGAUUUAGAGUCCAAAACUGUGAGUAGUGAGAUGUAAACAAAAGCUUGUCCGGCUUUCAACUUGAACUCGUAAAGGCGAAAUAACAGGAAAAAAAAAUUAAAGACUUUCUCAAAAAAAGAAAAAAAAAAAACACAAAUAAACUAGAUUUAUGUCUGUACUAGGAAUCCUGUGGCCUUUAUCUUUGCUGGAGUAUGUGUCUCUGUGUUUCCGAGUCCAUCUUAUCGACUCUUCUCCUAAUAAACCAAUAUCCAACUUUUCUCUCCUCGCUGUCCUCCAUUCUCUCUGCAACGUCGCCACGUGUCGUCAGCUCCCAAGUACAUCCUGCCACGUGUCCCCAAACCCCCAAGCACAUCCCGCCGCGUGUCCAACUUGCAAAUCUAAAGGGGUCCACUGCAACGUGAAGACUGUCGUGCUCCCUCGACGUGUGAAAUGACCACUCGCGCCACGUACCCCUCGCGCCAGGAAUCCCGUCCCAGUUCAAUAAUAGAGGGGCAUUUCCGGAAACAAAGAAAUCUUGACGCAGGCUCAAGUUGGGCACGGAACCUCGAGGGCAAUCCUCCGCCAAGAAAAAAAUCUGAUUUCCUCGAGGUGGGACCCGAUUCCGCCACGUGGCCGAAUGUGAGAGCGGUUUUAGAUGGGCUUUCUCAGCCACGAAAUGUCGGCCUUCGUUUCUGAGCCACAAGAUAUCACACCCACCAAAUCUUUUAUUAUUUCCUCUGCAACUUGAUUUUUUUUAAUUUUUUUUAUUUCUAUUCUAAAAUUAGAAAAAUAUAUAAGGAAAAACCCAGCCGCCUCAUUCAUUUAUUUCCAAAUUAAGCACUUGUUCUCUUUCUCUCUCUCUCCCACAGAAACCCAUAAGACUUUUUUCAGCCUCACAUCGUAUUUCUUCAUCUGGACUGAAUUGAUUCGCUGAAUCUGAAACUGGGUCUUGUUCAUUUUCUGAACUAGUUCAUCACAAAGGUAUGUUACAUCAUGACCCUGUUGUUGGUUUCUGUGAAGUUUUUUUUCAUUUUUGGAGUGAAUUUGUGCUGGUAGAUGCAAAUCCAGUGUUUUCAGCUGGUUUUCUUUACUUGUGAAGUUUUGUGUGAUUAUAAUUCAGAAAGGAAAGAAGUGAAAUUUGGAUUAUAGGACAUAUUGGAUUUGGUCAGUUCCAGUUUCUGGAAUCCAAGAGUUUGAGUAGUUAGAUGGUCUUGUAAUCAAAUCCUUCAAUUUUGGAAUGAAUAGAUGGAGAGUUUGUGUCCUGAUACUGGUUGUGAUUCACCUUUGAGUAUAAUCAGAUUUGGAAUUUAGCUUUUAGCUUUUGUAUUUUGUUGGUAGUAGUUCAUCUAGUUUUCAAAGUAAUCUGUCUAGAAAAGUCCAACUUACAAGAAGGGCCAGCUCUGAAAAUAAUUUACUUUUAAAGUGUCAGUAAAAAAAGCAUCUAGAUCUGGGCCUCUGUUUGAUUACUCAGAGAAGAUUCUGGAGCUAGGAGUCAUAAAUUGAUAUAGGAGAUCUAUUUAGUUCAUUCCUUUACCUGGUUAUAUAAAAAGAAAUUAUAAGCUCACAAGUGAGUGAAUCUCAAUGGAGUCGAAGUUAAAUGACUAUAUGAGAUCUGUAUGUAUGACAGUUACUUCCUCUGUCAUUUUUGUAACAUCUUGAUUGCUUUUUUCAGAACAAAUCUCAUGGAUUGGUAUUUCGGUAACGGGAUCGAUGACCUUGUUGUCCCAAAUGAUGGAGGAUCUGACAGGCUUCCAUCACCAGAUAGCUGGUCGAAGUGGGGGAUAAGUGCAUCUGAGUGCUUUCAGUCCCCGAAUAAAUGCUAUUCCAUGUAUCCACAAUUCAGUAAAGAAGUCAACUUCAGUGGGAAAGGUUUAUUAGAUGAAGGUGAGAUGGGAACUUCUGCUAAUGACAGAGAUCUAUCUAGCAGUUCAAGUGUUUGUGAAGGAUUGUCUGAUGACUCUCUUCAGAAGACCUCACUUUCUUACAAUCGGACCUACAAUCAACUUGAGGACCUAGCAGGACUCCAACAGAUGGAUGACAUAUUCUUGUACUAGCGUAACUUCUGGGACUAAGAUACUUAAUUAGUGCAUGUAGGAAAUCAUGUAGCUUUCUCUAACUUUCUUAAUUUGUCAUGAUCAAUUAUGGCUUCAUAUGAAAAACAGUGGAAAUUGAAUUGCCCAUUGUGUUUUCAGGUUGUAUUUUGCUCUAGUCCACAAUUAAAAAGCAAGAAUUCCACUGACUUGAAGAAAACAUUACUUUUAUCAUUGAUUUUGCAAAAGAGCCAUACAACAUUUCUGUGAUAGCCAAACUUUUCCUUAAAUGCUAAGCGCUUUGACAUCAUAAAUUGCCAUAUCAGGUUUAUUUGUUUUAGUUUCUCACCAUCUCCCUUGUUCUUAUUGCAGGAGUUCCUUACUUGAUGAUCUUCCUGGGGUAGAAAAUGUACAUAAAUCGUUCUUUUUCCGUUCUGAUUCCAGUGGCAUGUUAGCGAGUGAUAGUAUUUCGACAAGCAUGAAUUUGGAAACACAAAGUAUUUCAAGCAGUGUUCACAGUGCUGGCAGCUCAAAAUAUCUCAAAACUCAUGCAUUUUCACCGGAAUUGGGUUCAGAGAAGGGGCAUACCACUAUCUCACAUAUCAGUCCCUGCAACUCAGAGCGUAAUGACUGCUCACCAAUAAAGGUGAGAUUUCAAUUUGCAUUUUAUUUGGGACCUGGCCAGAUUUAGAUAGUGGUACUGUUAGCUUGCCUAGUUCUCAUUCUAAGAUGGAUGUUCACCAGCAUGCUACUAAUAGUGUGCUUGUAUCUAUAUGUUGAAAUUAUGCAUAUUACUAGUUAUUGCAUGUGUGUUGCUCGGUAGUUGAGCGUUGAGCCUUUUUGUUACUUUAGCAGGGUAGAGCUCAGGAUUCCUUGGUCCUGACCGGUGUAUAAUAGGAAAGUUUCUUUUGCUGACAAUGGAUAGGAAAGUUGCACCUUCAGUACUUCUACCAUGAAAGGGAAUCUUUAAAAACAGAACCUCUUGCCGAACCUUUAGUUCUUAUUUAUAAAUAGUGCAGACAAAAAAUGAAAAUGCGCAUGCAGUUGUUUUACGUUAUAUCCCGUCUGUUUAAAUUUUAUCAAUGGCAUAUUUGCAGUGCUAGUUUCUUGCCUUCAAGCUUAUAUCUUAUCAAUGUAAUUCUUUUGAAGGCACAGACAGAUAAACUCAUGCUUCCAACUGAGCAAGGGUGCAUGCAUGGUGGUGCGGAUGAUGAAACAUCAGUUGAAGAAUCUGUAUUGCAGGAGCUGGAAAUGGUGAUGACACAGGUAGAUCUAUUUUUUUAUAAUCAUAAUGAUAUGCAUUGUGAUGAUACAUGUCCAUCCAUUUAAUGCUAAACUUCUCUGUUUUGGAAUGUUCAGUUGACUGAAAAGACCCGAAUCUGUUUUCGAGAUGCUUUGUAUCGUCUUGCUGAUAACUCAAAAGGGAAUCAUGUUACACAGAGCCAGGACAGAGACCUUGCCAUUGAGAAACCGUCUUCAUGGGCAGACCAUGAUGAAACAACAAGGUACAUCAUAUGUGUUUUUUUUUUAAUAUUUUUUUCCCUACAUUUGAGUUCUUUUCCUAUGGAUUUUAAAGUUUCAUUCAUAUUAUCCACUACCUCAUCAAAUCAUUCUCUUCCACGCACAUUAUCUUGGAAACAAAGUGUUGAGAGUGAUAAGGCACAGAGCAUAACGUUAUAGGUUUCAUGGAAAUAUAAUGUGGACAAGCCAACUUUUUCUAAAUUUCGUAUGUACGUCGGAAAGUGAAGGUUGAGAUGUCCUUGGUUUCAUACUUUCAUAUUGGCAAUAGCUAGGGAACAUGUGUUUUGGCGCACUCAGGUAACCUUGUUUCAUAGUGGCAUUAGCUAGGGAACAUGUCUUCUGGCUCUCUCUGGGUUCUCUUUUAUCUAAGGGUACCUAUAAAAAGAAGAAGGAAUAUUUUAUUAUACAAAUUAGACUUCCAUGAAAUGUUCUUGAAUUACACUUGCUAAUCUGGUAGGCACUGGUUGUAGACAUAUCCUGUUAUCCAUGCCACUAGUGGGUUGUUCCUUUUCCUGGUUAUUGGCACUAAUUCAUUGAUGCUAAAUUUGAUAUUCAGGUCUGGAAGCAAGAAAGUCACAGAAUCAGAGACAAACACCAUUGACCGAGCAAUUGCGAACCUCAUGUUUAAUGAGAUUGACUUCAAUGCACAAGACCUCUCUGGAGGAUCAUCAUCAGACUCCAAACAUGAAUUCAAUGGAGCUUCUGGGCAACAACUAUCUGAAAAUUCCUACCGGCCGGAAGUCUCUCAUUCGCAUCACAAUUCAGUUUUGCCACAUGAUGCUGAAGUUCCAACACUUGGUCAAAGAGACAUGCAUAAAAAUUUCACAAUAAAUGCUGGUGGAAAGAGGAAGACUCCAAUGACGGAGUUUGGCUCUGCGACCGAGUUCUAAAUGGCCAUUUGAGGAAUGUUGUGACACCGCAAUGAUCUGGUGGGCAAAGAAGUUAAUGAAAUUACACGAAGAUCAUUCAUGAGUUGCUUGUACAUAUACCCCAUAUAGUUAGUGUGCAAUGUUUAAAGAUUUGCUGGAUCCAUACUUUCAGCUCAGUUUUGAUCGGCACGUGGAUGAGUAUAUUUAAAAGUAGUAGCUUGUUGUAGACAUGGAUUUUACUUCAAGAGGUUGAAUCGUCUCAUUGGAUUUUGCAUGAUGAUGUUAUUGAUGUUACAAAACAGAGGAGCUUCGUGAGUAUGGGUUGCAGCUCAAUGAGAUGAUUCAGCCUCUUGGUGUUUCGUUGAUGAAAGCUAGUGCCGUUACAUUAUUCUGAUAUGUUGAAGAAAAUCAGUGAUCUAAACACGUUGAUGCUCAGGACUUUGAUAUCAUUUCAAUCCAUAUGCCAAAGUCACUGAAGUGUGUAAAAAGUGUGUGUAUAUAUAGUGUGAUGUGUCUUUGAAGUUUAUGAUUAGGCCUCUGGAGACAGCAUAACUGAUGUGACAAAUAGUGGAUCGACGCGAAUCCUAAUGGUGAUACCCUGCAAGCGCUGUAGUAGCAGCUCCAUGCGCAUUUGCAAAUUCGAGAGGAAUUAAAAUAUUCCUGUGUAGAAGGGGAAGGAGCAUGUUCAUUGUUCAGAAUCCGGUUCAUGGAACAUUAGAAUGUCGUGCCAGAUUCCACAGGCUUAACUUGGCAGUAAACAAUGACGAACACACGCCAUUGUUAAGACAUGGUUUUUUUUUUUUUUUGGCGAAGAUUGUUAAGACAUGUUCGAUGUUUCGAACAAAUAAAUGUGAAAAAAUGCAGAUUUACUUCAAGGCUUAUUGCUCCCCAUAGUCAGUGACCCAGUGUCUUUGUUGAGGAGUCAUGUUCAACCUGUUCACUGUUUAGGAUACAACUUGUCAGAUCACUGAAUCAUCUCUAUCAAUAAAGCGAAGAGAAGAGGGUAUUUUACUGUUCAUCCUGAAUAGUGACGUGUACCAUUAGGAGGUUGCUCCCAUUUGAUGAAGACUUGCUCACUCUCUAGAACAAGCCAAACAUUUUGAGUACCCGGCAUACAGCCCAACCGUCCCUAUAAUAUCUACUAUUAAUAAAGUCGCUUUUGAAAUGGUUAAUUUUUAAAGUAUCUAAAUUGCCUUCAAUCAGAAAAAAAAUAUAUAUAUAUAUAUAUAUAAAUAUAUUUAUAUAUCUAAAUUGCCUUUUUCUUAUUUCACACUAAAAAACUAUAAUUUAAUGUGUAAAGGUUUUAAUUGUAAUUUCAAAUAUAUAAAAACAGGUUUGAUAAUAUAUAUUAUACGGGAUCCCCUUACACAUCUUGGGGUAUUGCACGCCUUGGGGUAUGCAUACCUCGUCUAGGUGGCAUUAACUCUGUUAGCUGNNNNNNNNNNNNNNNNNNNNNNNNNNNNNNNNNNNNNNNNNNNNNNNNNNNNNNNNNNNNNNNNNNNNNNNNNNNNNNNNNNNNNNNNNNNNNNNNNNNNNNNNNNNNNNNNNNNNNNNNNNNNNNNNNNNNNNNNNNNNNNNNNNNNNNNNNNNNNNNNNNNNNNNNNNNNNNNNNNNNNNNNNNNNNNNNNNNNNNNNNNNNNNNNNNNNNNNNNNNNNNNNNNNNNNNNNNNNNNNNNNNNNNNNNNNNNNNNNNNNNNNNNNNNNNNNNNNNNNNNNNNNNNNNNNNNNNNNNNNNNNNNNNNNNNNNNNNNNNNNNNNNNNNNNNNNNNNNNNNNNNNNNNNNNNNNNNNNNUCUCUCUCUCUCUCUCUCUCACAAAAACACACCGGAAGACACAGCAACCCUGCUCAGUAGCUACGAAGUCACUUACCACUGCUUAACACCUCUGAAGUCAACCUAGGUCAUCGGAAGAAGUAGAGGACACCAGAAACCCCCGUCGGCAUCCACCGCAGCAGCUCACCGGAAAACUCAAAAUCGACAGUAAAGGGAUUAUUAAGAUUUGUAAAAGAUUCGAGGGAUUAAGGGCACUAGGGUGCAGAGAAUGAAGGGAAAAGUUCGAAUAUGACAAUUCUAGGCCAAGUCGUCGUCGGAGACGGCGGAAAUAGACGAACACAGUCGGAGCUUCUCGCCAUCGAUUUGUCUUUGAAUCAGUAUGUGCAAUUCACGGGCUGGGUUAUGUAGAGGGGAAAGAGAGAAGAAAUUUGGUGGUGGUUUUGUGGAGAAUGGUGGCCAGAGUCGACCGAGAGGCGUCGGAGAAGACGGCCGAGGACGGAGAGCUUCUCAGCUCUCGUCGUACGCGAGAGAGGAGUGCUUGACCCGACUUGGGUCAGUUGACCUUGGUUGGGUUUUCAAAGAAGGAAUCAACGGUCAAGAUUAAAAGAGAACGAGAUCAAAAUGGUCUACUUGUUUACGAACACUAACCUACCAGUUUUGUAAACAUGGUGUACUAGGUUUUCGAAUCAUUGUCUCACACUACGAGUAGACCAACUCUAAAGUGUCCAAAAUUCACACACACUUGAAGAAUUCUUGAGAGGUUUACAUGUUUAUGAAGCCUGGUCUGCUUAUUUACGAGUACGGGUCUACUUUUUUUGUGAGACAAAAUGGUCUACCUGUUUACGAACACGAACCUACCUGUUUUGUAAACAUGGUCUACCAGGUUUCCGAAUCAUUGACUCAUACUAUGUGUAGACCAACUCUACAGUGUCCAGAAUUCACACACACUUGAAGAAUUUUUAAGAGGUCUAUCUGUUUACGAAGUCUGGUCUGCUUAUUUACGAGAAAGGGUCUACUUUUUUUGUGAGACAAAAUGGUCUACCUGUUUACGAACACUAACCUACCUGUUUUGUAAACAUGGUGUACUAGGUUUUCGAAUCAUUGUCUCACACUACGAGUAGACCAACUCUAAAGUGUCCAAAAUUCACACACACUUGAAGAAUUCUUAAGAGGUUUACAUGUUUAUGAAGCCUGGUCUGCUUAUUUACGAGUACAGGUCUACUUUUUUUGUGAGACAAAAUGGUCUACCUUUUUACAAACAGAAACCUACCUGUUUUGUAAACAUGGUCUAGCAGGUUUUCGAAUCAUUGUCUCACACUACGAGUAGACUAACUCUAAAGAGUCCAGAAUUCACACACUUGAAGAAUUCUUGAGAGGUUUACCUGUUUACGAAGCCUAGUCUGCUUAUUCACGAGUACGGGUCUACUUUUUUUGUGAGACGAAAUGGUCUACCUGUUUACGAACACUAACCUACCUGUUUUGUAAAUAUGGUGUACCAGGUUUCUGAAUCAUUGACUCAUACUACGUGUAGACCAACUCUAAAGUGUCCAGAAUUCACACACACUUGAAGAAUUCUUGAGAGAUCUACCUAUUUACGAAGCCUGGUCUGCUUAUUUACGAGAAAGGGUCUAUUUUUUUGUGAGACAAAAUGGUCUACCUGUUUACGAACAAUAACCUACCUGUUUUGUGAACAUGGUAUACUAUGUUUUCGAAUCAUUGACUCACACUACGAGUAGACCAAUUCUAAAGUGUGCAGAAUUCACAGACACUUGAAAAAUUUUUGAGAGGUCUACCUGUUUACGAAGCCUGGUCUGCUUAUUUAUGAGUAAGUGUCUACUUUAUUUGUGAGACAAAAUGGUCUACCUGUUUACGAAGACUAACUUACCUGUUUUGUGAACAUGGUGUACUAGGUUUUCGAAUCAUUGACUCACACUACGAGUAGACCAACUCUAAAGUGUGUAGAAUUCACAAACACUUGAAGAAUUUUUGAGAUCCUACAUGUUUACGAAGCUUUGUUUGCUUAUUUACGAGUAAGGGUCUAUUUUUUUCGUGAGACAAAAUGGUCUACCUGUUUACGAACAACAACCUACCUGUUUUGUGAACAUGGUGUAUUAGGUUUUCUAAUCAUUGACUCUCACUACGAGUAGACCAACUCUAAAGUGUGCAGAAUUCAUAGACACUUGAAGAAUUCUUGAGAGGUCUACCUGUUUACGAAGCCUGGUCUGCUUAUUUACGAGUAAGGCUCUACUUUUUUUGUGAGACAAAAUAGUCUACCUGUUUACGAAGACUAACCUAUUUGUUUUGUGAACAUGGUGUACAAGGUUUUCGAAUCAGUGACUCAUACUAUGCGUAGACCAACUCUAAAGUGUCUAGAAUUCAUAAACACUUGAAGAAGUCUUGAGAGAUAUACCUGUUUACAAAGCCUAGUUUGCUUAUUUACUAGUAAAGGUCUAUUUUUUUGUUGACAAUUGUCUACUAAUUGUCUUAGCGUCUCAUGAACCAGGUCUAACUUACGUUGACAAAUGACAAUUGUCUACUAAUUGUCUUAGCGUUUGUCAUGUACAAGUAGACUUCGGCAUGCAUAAGUCACCGUCUUCCAUAUGAAAAGAACACAUUUGAGAGGGUUGUUUUUUAGAAUAUUACUGCUCUUAUAUGCAAGUCUACUCAAAGUCCUAGUUUAAUGUGCACCAUGUACUAGUUUCAUGACACGCUUGCUCAUAUAGAAGUAGACAUUCUGAAGAGUUGUUCUUGAGACUGUUACCUAAUGAACCACCAAACUUUUCAUUGCAUCAAUAUCCAUCAAAAUACAUUGUAUCCCUCAGUUGCAAAAGUUUAAACUCUAAAUGACACGACCCAUCCCAAAUUUCACCCUGAAACCCAGAGUAAGUCGUGCGGGGACCACCUCCAAGGAAAAUUUACUAAAAAAUCGGCAUAACCUCCCUUGAAAAUGGACAACCCUUCCUAAUAAUACCUGUAAACACUUCUGAAAAUUUAAAUCCAACCUUAAACUCCUGGAGCCUCCGUGCUCCCCAAAUCACAACACCACCUAAAUUAUUUACUAAUCUAAACAAAUCUCGUAUCCAACCAUUUAUAGGUUUAGAGCAACUCUAACAGGAAGAAAGGAAACAUAAUAAAUUAACAAGCAGAAACUAUAUGAUGACUCUGCCUCAUCCCCAUGUACGCCCGACCUCAACUAUGCAAUCCUGCAAAUUGGGCAUUUUUAAAACGAAGAACCCAAGGGAAAACAUUUGAAACACAUUAGAGUGAGUGGACAAAAAUAAAUUAAGAGAUAAUUUCACUUUACUACCCUGAACUUUAGGUCUAAAAUCAGUUUGAUACCUCAUCUUUUUUUUUAAUCAGUUUCAUACCUAAACUUUCAAAAUGACAUCAAUCUCGACUAAAAUGACUAAAAUAGCCCUGGUUAAUCUUUUUACCCUCUCAGAGUUAAGAAAUGGCAGCGGCGACGGCCGAGGGAGGAGGAGGGGCUGCCGCCGGGGGAGGAGGAGAGGCUGCCGCCGAGGCCCAUUGCUGGUGGUNNNNNNNNNNNNNNNNNNNNNNNNNNNNNNNNNNNNNNNNNNNNNNNNNNNNNNNNNNNNNNNNNNNNNNNNNNNNNNNNNNNNNNNNNNNNNNNNNNNNNNNNNNNNNNNNNNNNNNNNNNNNNNNNNNNNNNNNNNNNNNNNNNNNNNNNNNNNNNNNNNNNNNNNNNNNNNNNNNNNNNNNNNNNNNNNNNNNNNNNNNNNNNNNNNNNNNNNNNNNNNNNNNNNNNNNNNNNNNNNNNNNNNNNNNNNNNNNNNNNNNNNNNNNNNNNNNNNNNNNNNNNNNNNNNNNNNNNNNNNNNNNNNUGUCAUUUUGAAAGUUUAGGUAUGAAACUGAUUAAAAAAAGAUGAGGUAUCAAACUGAUUUUAGACAUAAAGUUCAGGGUAGUAAACUGAAUUUUUCUCAUAAAUUAACGAAUAAAAUAUUUAUGUUUCCCCAAAUCAAUUUCCAAGGAAAAUCGAAUGCAUGCUGCAAGCGAUAAACUUUUAUCUCAUAAAUGUCGAGCCUCUCAGGCUCUAUAAUAUAUGUAUGUAUUUACACACGUCCAUACUCUCUAUAUAAAUUCAUGGGUCUAUAUAGGGCUACUACGCUCGCGUCCAACGCUCACGUUACGCCUUAAUGCGGUGCUACACUACGCCAUUAAGGUGGACAGACGGGUGUAUAAAUAUGUGCCCAUACCCCCUAUAUGAAUUAAACACUCAUAUAGGGCUACUACGCUCGCGUCCAACGCUCACGUCACACCAUAAUGCGGCUAUAUGCUAUGCCAUUAAGGUGGACAGACACAUAGGGCUAGCUAGCAUUUUUAUACAUACUCUCCUCAUAAAUACAUAUUUAUAUUCACCGAAAAUCCCAUUUUCGGUAACUCUCCAAGAGAAAUAAAACCGUCAAAAUAAAAUGACGUCAAAAUGCUCCACAACAUUAAUUGUUCAUCUAUGAACUAUAGCAUGCAUUUUAUUUAAAACAAAAGUCCACUCACAACUCUAGGCAUAAGCCCGACGAAAUCCAAAUCGCCACUCCAGAAAGGUUUCCUCGAACCCUAGCUCAAGAGAGGGUGAGCUGUUUGGAGGGGUUGCUGCACGGGAGGAGGGCUACAAAACGAGCCAAGGAUCGCCGGUUGUGGUGGCCGGAGGAGGGAGUACCGGCGUCGGGAGGCUUAACACAGUCGGACCUCUCGGGCCCGAUAUCUUCCUCACGGCGGCGCUAGGGGAGCUGUCACCAGUCCAGGGAUGUAGCUGGGUCGGAGGUCGACUGAACGGGACCGGUGCGGCAGCGGUUGGUGGCCGGACGGCGACGGACAGCCAAGAAGAAAACCGACGGGGAGAGAGGGCUCGGGUNNNNNNNNNNNNNNNNNNNNNNNNNNNNNNNNNNNNNNNNNCGGAGACGGUAAAAUUCUUAUUAUAACCAAGCUAGUAAAUAAAGUAAAAAUUUAAGGGUCGGGAUGUGAUACUAAACCUAGCACUUCUAUUAUGACCCUAGAAAAAAGAAGCGUAGUAUCUUGAUCAUAUUUAUAUGUUCCACAAUGCUCUUCCUCAACUCCCUUUCACCUUCAAACGCAUCCAUGAGGAUUUGGCAGUAGUUUCCGUUCAUAUAUCUUGGGUAUAGCUGUGCCAUGGUACACCCUGCACACAGUUGAAACAAUCACAUAUCAGCUUAACAUAACUUAUAUCAAUUUAAACGGAAAAGCAAAAUUUUUAACAAUUAAGAUGCAUGCAUCAACCUCAAUAUGCAGUGUAACUUGACAUCAAAGACUGGACAGAAAAGAAAGUGAUCUAUGGCUAGCUAAAACCUAAAACCAUAUAUAUCACUGUUUCAUUUGGUAUUAAGAAAGUAAAAAACAUGACAAGUUAGCGACCUACAACAAAUCUAUCAAGUCAAUAGUGUUUAGUUUGAGUAGGAUGCUCCUUAUGAUAGCAAUUGAAAGCACCUGCUUCUGUCCUCAUAGCACUUAAAUUCCUAAUCUAUAUUAUUAUAGUUUCCAUGACAGUCUUGGAACUUUCUUUGCAACUACAAGCAUAACAUUUCAGAGCUGUAAAUAACUAUAUAUGAAUAACCUCUAACACAAAAACAGUUAUUCAGGACCAUUAAAAUUGUAUAAUUACUCAACUUAACCUAAAAUGAAAUGUAGUUAAGAGCAAAAGCAAUUAAAAUUCACUUGUACAAGCACUGUAGUCAAGACAAAAAUCAGAAAUCUAAACUUUACUUCCAAGGCUCUCAUCUGCAACGAAUGUAGCACAGAGCAAAAUUAAUCGAUCCUAACAUGAAAAGCUUGCAUACGAUUAUAAUAUGAAUUUUAUAACUCAGAGGCUAAUGUUGAAACAUCACAAUUAUACCUGUGAGAAUUAGGAAGGCAUACCAGAAACAAGUUGAUACAUAAAAACAAGAAUAACUCACUGAUUGUUGAGGCAAUCAUGGAAUAAAGGAGUUCUAAACUCCUAGCACACAAGACCAACAAUUCAACAACAACUCAACGCAGAACAACCAACAUAGUAAUGCCACAGCAACAAGAGAGGUCGAGACUUACCAUCUGUUUCUCCAAAUCAAUGAACCAGACAAAGUCUGAACCUCCUCCUUGCUUAACCAAGACCAAAUCGGAGAAUCAACAUAAGAACAUGGAUCCUCCCCUCGCUAGAAAGCCACUGCCUCAACCCAGAACCGCCCGCUACUUCCACAACGCCACUUAAACGUACUUCGGCUCCAUUAAAACACGAUAGGACUCCCUAGAAGUCGACGAGGUCGUCGGAAAACUUUGACCAAAACCCAGAAAUACAAAAGAAAAGAAAAUCAGAUUAGGGCUUUAUUUAGGGAAAUCAAAGCUCAAGGAGGAGUGAAAACGAGAGAGAAGUGAUGGGUUUAUACGGAGCACGAGUUCGCCAGAGAGGGAGAAAUUCGAUCGGAAAUUGGAUUUGGGGAUUUAGGGUUUGGAUUUCAAUCUUGAGAAGGCGGUGGAUGCAUGUCAAUCGGUGAUUAGGAGGAGGUAGAGGAGAGGGAGACGAGCUAAAUGGUAGUAUAGAGAGAGAGAGAGAGAGAGAGAGAGAGAGAGAGGCAGAGAGGAACGCGCAAGGGAAAGAGAGGAAAGUACGACUAGGGUUCCAUUUCCUUUAUAUACAUAGUUUCAUACUUAUGCGGCGAAACGACGUGUUUGUCCCUGCGGUUUAGGGUUUAGGGUUCUCUUUUAUGAAAAUUGAUUGUAGAUGCGAUCAUAGAACUUUAAUUUCGAUUAUCAUAUAAUUGAUCCAUCAUCACAAACCUUGAACCAUGUAUACACUAGAUGUGAGAUGUGACUAUUGCUAGAUCAUCAUAAACUCUAAACUAUAUAUACAUGAGAGGUGAUUUGUACUCGAUCAUCAUAAACCGUAAACCAUGCCAACGUUAAGACAUUACUUGAUAUUAAUGGCUGAUCAUCAUAAACCUUAUAUACAUCAAAGGUGACUAGUGCUUGAUUAUCAUAUAUCAAGUAUACACUAGAGGUGAUCGACUAUUGAUCGAUCAUCACAAAUCUUGAACCAUGCAUACACUAGAGGUGACUAUUACUUGAUCAUCAUAAACCUUAAAGUAUAUAUACAUUAGAGGUUAUUUAUACUCGAUCAUCAGAAAUCGUUAACCAUAUGCCAAAAUUAGGGUGACUAUGCUCAAUCAUCAUAAACCCUAUAUACACUAGAGGUGACUUGUAACAUCCCGAAUUUUGAAAUUUCUCAAAAUGUGUUUUUCUUUUUAGAAUUAGAAACUAGAUGUCUCCACGAGGUCGCACCUAAGUCUUUUCCAUAUUAUAUAUAUGAGAAAUUUUAUUACCACAUCCCUAAAUGCUAGAUACAUACAUUUUUUCUUAUACAAAUUAUAUAUGAGUUUGUGGGUACAUAAAAUUACCAAAAGAGACAUUCAUAUUAAAAGUAAAGAAACCUAGUUGAAAUAAAAUAUCUCACUUAAAAGUUUUUUUCUCCUUUACGAGAAUAACGUAUGUGAAGAUACCAAGCCCUAAUAAAAAAUAACUAGUGACAGUUAUCAUGAAUAACCAUAGUUUCAAGUAAAAAAUGAAGCCAACGUAAUGGAUUAUUCCAAUGGGAUUUCCCAACCCCUAAGCGAGGUAUGACUUCUCUAUCUUUGAUUAAGUUUGAUCUACUAAAAAAUUUAGAUUUAAGGUUUGUUGUUUGAACUUGGAAAUAUAUAUUUUACUAUUCAUGCAUGCUAGGUCGUUGUUCAAAAGCAUUCACGUUUGAACACCUAAUUUAGAUUUUGUUUUGUUUUGAUUCGGUACGUAGGCUCAAGAAUUCUUAAAAUCAGUGUAAGAGAGCUUGAGAAGGAAAUUUGUCGAGGAAAACUGACGGGAGAAGAUGAUAACAAAUGGAAAUUCCUUGAGGAAGAUCUUAACAAAGUGAAAUCCUUAAAGUUGUGUAUUUAGAAAAGUAUGUGUAUUUAAUGAAUGAGUUGUGUAUUUAGUGAAUAAGUUGUGUAUUUUAAAUGAGGAUAUUAUAAGAAGUUGGGGUAUAUGGAGUCCGGAUGUGAAGCGGACGUCCGCACUCGGCUUAAAGUGUGGACGUCCGUCCGUUCUCCACCCUCCGGCACCGGCGCCAGCGCGCCUCCACCCCAGAACACUCCAACAGCGUCCCCGACCACUUUCCCUCCCCGGCAAGUCCGUUCUUUUCCAAUUUUCCAGCGAGAUCACCCAAAACUUCAAACAAGAUCAAUCUUGCCGGAAACUGGAAAAGAACAGACUCGCCGGGGAGAGAAAGUGGUCGGGGACGCUGCUGGAGUGUUCUGGGGUGGAGGCGCGCCAUCGCCGGCGCCGGAGGGUGGAGAACAGACGGACGUCUACUUCUCAUCCUUUUUAGGGGUAUAUGUAUCUAGUAAAAUAAUAAAAUAAUAAAAUUAAUAGGUGAUGUAUUAAGUAUGAGAUGUGUAUCUAGUAACUAAAGUGAUAUAUAAAUAUAUAUAAACAAAGAUAAAACAUAAAAAUGAGAAGAGAAAAACGUGGAGCAGCUUUUGCUUAGUGCCAACUACGUUGUAACUAUUUAAAAAACAAAUUUUUUUUUUAAGACAAGGAAAAAAGCAAAUAGACAUAGAGGCUAGUAUUGAUAGGGAUUAAUUGUAAUAAACACAUACUAAUUAGAAAGUAAAGAAAGCAAAUUAGAGAACACAUCUUUUUAUCUCUGCUUUAGACUAUGACUGCACCGUCGUUGCUACCCAUCCACCAUACACGCAGAUCCACCAUCGGCCACGUGUCCUCAUCAUCCUCGCUUUUCCGACGCCAUCGGACCACUGGCCAUCAACAAGAGAUGUCAGAGCACUGCCAUCAUCCUUCUUAACGACCCAUAUUUGAUACCCGCCGCGCUUCCACCUUGGCCAGAAUCAGAGCUCCCUCCAAUACUUGAUACCCUCCACACCUCUGCCCUGUUGGGAAAGAAGUGGCUGCGUAAUACAAGGCCGACAAAUAUUUGGUUAUCUCAGGAUCUAACUUUCUCACCCCUCGUAUGAUUUAUAAAAAUAGUAACAAAAAGAAGACAUAAUAUUUAACGAGAUUCGGUAAAUGUGCCUACGUCCUCAGAACAGCAGUAGUAUUUUUUUUUUCUAGUCUGGAUGACUCUGCCUUUGAUCUCGAACUGGAGCAAGUUCGGAUGCCUUUCUUUUGCACUAUGAUGCCUUUAUAUAAGCAUUCCUCUUCAUGCAAUUCUACAUGUGCAUCUACCAUGCAUGGAAGCAUAGUCAAACUUCAUCCUUGUUUCAUGCUCAAUGUUGGCAUGCUUUGUAAUGCAUGUUUCAAUCAACAUUCAACAAAUGCGGCACCACCUAGCUACACAUAUACCUAGCUUUUCUUUUACAUUUAUUGGGUUACCAAACCAACAGUCAUUAAUCUUUCAUUCUUCAUGUGUAAAUCCAACACAUGGUUUCUCACCUCCAUUAAGGAGGGACCAACCCAACACGCCCUAGAUGCAGCCACCAUAUCAUUCGUGAGAGAAGAAAGAAAACACUUCACAGCCUUGGUCCCUAAGCUUCAAGCAUGCCAUCCAGCCAAAUAACCCGUGGGGCCGCAUGCACCAGACAGAAACGAGACCAUAGGCCAGUGCCAGUGCCGACGCGCCACUGGACAGGCACGACCGCACGAACCACCCUGGAAGUAUUCUCUCUAUGGUUUUUUUUCAUUCUCUGGUCUAUACAAUGACAAGAGGUUGCACAAAUGUAGGGCUAUCAUAAAUGUAUUGGGCUUUAAGGCUUAGUUGAGACCCAAGUCUUCUCAGCGGGCGAGCAAGUGUACAUAAUCUGGUGACCGGAUUUAGGGCAAGUCCUCAUGAUAUUUUAAAAAUUUCUCUCUUACAUAUAAGAGACCCUCUUUUAGAGUAGCAAUUUGAGUCGUUGAAACACUACAGUCUAACCAUUAUCAUCUCUUAUUAAAUCCGGCAAUAGCCGGGUUUCUGUGUAUUCACAAAAGUCAUCCAAGUUUAAUUUACAAACAUUUGAGGGUAAAGGAUGUCAUUUAAUUAUGGCACAAAAAGAUUUUUGAGCGCAAAAAGACAUUGAGCAAUGUCACAUAUAUAUAUAUAUAUAUAUAUAUAUAUAUAUAUAUAUAUACACUCAUUUUUUUUGUAGAGCAAAGCAACAUUAAAAAAAAAUGGUGUGAAUUAAUUAGCAAAUGAUACAUGAAACCAAGUUUUUACCUUAAUAUUCUAAUUAAGAAUGACUUUUAUCUUAUGGCUGGCUCUUAGAGGUUGCCUGGCUACAAAGGAUAAAAUUCAUGCUUGUAUGCCUGAUAUUGAUCUUCAAUGCAUUCUUUGUAGGUUAGAUUUUGAAUCUCAUUGUCACUUGUUAUUUGAUUGUCCUUAUACUAGUCUUAUGAGUAAAUGUGGGGAAAGUUGGUGUUGUCCUCCUUGACCUGAUUUUCCCCACCAAGGAUUGGUAAGUCUUCAAACUCAUGAUUCAAAAUCAUUUACACUUCAAACUCAUUCAAAAUCAUUUACAUGCAGGAAAGAUAUCCAAAACUCCAAAAGAAAAAAAUAAAAAAUAAAAAAUACUAAACUUACGUUCCCCCAACAAGAUGUUCUUUACAUUCCCCCAACAAGAUGUUCUUUACAUGUUCAGCAAGAUGACAUUUCAUACCCUAAAACAAGGCAGCUUACCAGAAUAAACGGUCGCACAAUUAAUUCCCCCAAAUCGUGCCUUCCAUAUCACUUGCCGGCCUGACCUUGUUCUCCUUUUUCUUUUUGGUACAGGGACAACCUUUCUCUUCUCUAUAAUCUGAUCGAUCGUUCCUGAUCAGAUUUGACUAGACCCUUACGAAGAACACACUAAGCUCAGGCCCGUUAUUCCCAUCGGGAUUCAACAUGUAGUAAGUUUCCGAAUCCUUGGACCCGAUCACACGCUCGAACUGUGCUCUCAUGUACAUGAUCUCGCCGUCCGGCAACUCGCCGCCGUCAUUUGGUAUCACCCCGGCUCCCAUAGAAAUUGCUUGCAAUACUUGCAUGACACUCAAAUCAUCGUCCGUCGCUUCCCUCCGGACCCCAUACCCCGAUUUCUUCCCAUUGCAAUACAACAUCCAUAUCGGCUCAUCGACGAUCUUAGUCUUAUCACCUGGUCUCUUCUCACACUCGAGCGCUAUCCUCACUAACCCAGUUCCCAUGUCCUGGAGAAGCUUUCCCGUGGGAAUCCCUAGCUCAAUUACGAGAACGGGGAGGCACUUAGGGCUUUCUUGGAUCGCAAGGCUCACCCUAGCUCUGCGGUUCCCAAAUAGGGUUCCAGUCAUCCUGAUACCACCGUGGAUGUGUCCUUCCCCGAUUCGGCCGCCGUGGUGGAGAGACACCGGGAUCUUGCACGACGGGGUUAUGAUGGGAAAUGACCGGAAAACAGCACGGAAGCGCCGGAGAAGCUUUUUGGAUUUUGAGGGGCCUUUUUUGUUUGAUGCGGGUUGGAGGGAGAUGGCAGGUGAUGCUUGUGCAUCAAACACAGGUGAUGACUUUGCUUCCGGUUUUUGAUAACGCGGCGAGGACGGAGGCAGUGGCAGCGGCUGCGGUUGUGGUUCCCCCAUUAAUUAAUUUGCUCCAAGGCUUGUUUGAUUUUUAAGGGGCAAUGCUAGCAAUAUAUGCUAGGUUUUACGACAUGCAUUGGUGAGCUUGGAGGUGAUGAUGAGAGUGUAUAUGAAGAGAGCAAUUGAUUUGUGGUGUGCACGUUAUUGGGAACUCUGAAUAAUAUAUCGAGAAGUACGUAUAUAAAUGGGGAAUGUUUUCUUGUUUAUACUCAGUUAUAGUUAGGUUUUAGUUUUGUGGUUUACCUAAAGAUAGAUGUGUAUUAUUGACUCAAGAGAGGGGUUAGUUUCAGCUUUUAGUUUCAGACCUUAUACCAUCUUUAAUAUUCUAGAAAAAUUUCAAGUUAUUAGCUCUACUUAAUUGAGGCUUAAUUGUUGGCAUGUAUACCGGGUAAAUCUGACUUGAUCGACAUUAUAGUCAGCAACAGCUUCUUCCCGGCCACUAGGAUUAGUUAACUAGCUGAUGAACAAACAAACUUUUAAUCUGUAAUUUAAUCUAAUGAGCUAGAUGGAUAUAUAAGUAAUAUAACAGAAUUAAGCAAGCUAGCUUUCUGAAAUCUUGGACAAACUUAUUAUUAUUUUUUUUAAAACUUUUUAUUAACUAACUCACGCACCCUACAUAUGUCAGUAAGGUUUGAACCCAUAUGACCUUAAUGUUGUUGGUUAGACUCCCUAACUAACCAGGCCACAACUCACUGACAAAAUCUUGGACCAACUGAUUUAUUCUCUAAUUAAGGAGUUUUGAUUUGGUUAAACUAUAUAAAAUCAUUUAGAAUCUUUGAUCUUGAUUCUAGUAAAGUCAUGAAAAUACCAGCUGUUCGAAGACCAUGCUCGUAAUCUAAAAGCCUCAGCCAGUAAAACAUUUACUUAAUUUACCAAACUUUCAGUAGAAGCUGAUAAUUAGUAGGGCUGGGCACUUAGUAUCGGAAUCCUGAUCCCGUACCGGUCCCGUCUCGAAAGUUAGCGGGACGGGACGAGAUAGGUUUUGAAAAUAGCAAUCCCGCCCCGUCCCGUCCCGUUUCAACAUUACCAUAACGGGACGGGACGGGAUGGGACUAUCCCGAAAAAUCUCGUCCCGUCCCGUAAUAUUAGAAUACUUGAUUUUAUUCAUUUUAUACUUGAUUUUUUAGGUUGCAUAGUGUUACAAUGCACUCAACCACACUUAAUUUAGUCUAAAAUAAUACUUAAUUUUAAUUUUAUUCAUGUUCUUUUUUUUUGCUUGUGUGAUUUUGGAUAUUUUUAGUUGUUGUUUGAGGGUUAAUUUUUAAUGUGGGAUGUUUAGUACUUUUAAAGUGGGAUGUAAUUUAGCACCUAUGCACCUAUGUUCUUGUUGAUUUUNN
rnacentral:lncRNA from 1 species